UGUCAUUAUACCAUGGUCUGGGUGAAUACUCAAUUCCGAUUGGCUGCAGGGUGUCCAUAAAAAAGUGACACCAGCUAAAGCAGUUACGGUGAAACUGACUGUUUACUGUUCUAAAUUGAUGCGCUACAUUAAAACAAAAAGGAAAUGUGAAUUUGUUUUUUCCAACUGUUGCU